rnacentral:lncRNA from 1 species
AGAUGAUCCAUAAUUAUAUGGAACAUUUAGAAAGAACAAAACUUCAUCAGCUCUCAGGGAGUGAUCAACUAGAAUCCACAGCUCAUAGUAGAAUUAGAAAAGAACGCCCUAUAUCAUUAGGAAUUUUCCCAUUACCUGCUGGAGAUGGAUUGCUUACACCUGAUGCUCAGAAAGGAGGAGAGACCCCUGGAUCUGAGCAAUGGAAAUUUCAGGAAUUAAGUCAACCACGUUCUCAUACCAGCCUGAAGGUCAGCAAUAGUCCUGAACCUCAGAAGGCUGUAGAACAGGAGGUGAGAAUGGUGCUUCUUAACAUUUUGCAAAAAGUAUACUAAAGUGAUUAACUAUUGAUUACUUCCUCAACUGCUAUUCUCAAGACAUCAGAUGCUCAGCUUGGAAGACUAUUGUUGUAAUUCACUGAAAUAUAAAAGAAAAUUAUUUCCACUGUAGUGGUUGUCAGGGCUUUACUGCAAUCUGUAAUUUAUUCCUUCCCCAAAGUAAGCAUUUUUAAAUAAAGGAAAGAAAAUAUAA